AUACCUUUCUCGGCCUUUUGGCUAAGAUCAAGUGUAGUAUCUGUUCUUAUCAGUUUAAUAUCUGAUACGCGAGCCAUUGGCUUGCAUGAUAUUAAAUUAAUUUUUCUAGGGGAAGAGCUCAAUACAGUGGCUUGCUGCUGAGGCUCUUGUGUGUCGCCUGGGCAUUGCACUGCUGCCUUGGCCUGGCACGCCCCAC